GACGAACGCUGGCGGCGUGCUUAACACAUGCAAGUCGAACGGAAAGGCCCUGCUUUUGUGGGGUGCUCGAGUGGCGAACGGGUGAGUAACACGUGAGUAACCUGCCCUUGACUUUGGGAUAACUUCAGGAAACUGGGGCUAAUACCGGAUAGGAGCUCCUGCUGCAUGGUGGGGGUUGGAAAGUUUCGGCGGUUGGGGAUGGACUGGCGGCUUAUCAGCUUGUUGGUGGGGUAGUGGCUUACCAAGGCUUUGACGGGUAGCCGGCCUGGGAGGGGGACCGGCCACAUUGGGACUGAGAGACGGACCAGACUCCUACGGGAGGCAGCAGUGGGGAAUCUGGCACAAUGGGCGGAAGCCUGAGGCAGCAACGCCGCGUGCGGGAUGACGGCUUUCGGGUUGUAAACCGCUUUCGCCUGUGACGAAGCGUGAGUGACGGUAAUGGGUAAAGAAGCACCGGCUAACUACGUG
rnacentral:rRNA from 1 species